rnacentral:lncRNA from 1 species
AUGGAGGAAGGCCCUUGCGCUUACACAAGGGAGGGCCCGCGGCGGGCCCCCUGUUCCUCCAGGGCCGGGCGGGCCGGGCGGGCCGGGCCGGGCCAGGGGGCUGCAGCCUCGGGGCGGCUUUGCAUAAAUAGAGGGGCCGCGCCGCAGCGCAGGGCGCACCCGGGGCGGUCCCGGGGCGGGGGCCGCGCGGAGCCGGGCGGGGCGGGUUCCUACCUGCGCGCUGCCGAGCGCCCUGACCGGGCGGCCUUAACAGUUAGAGACGCGGGCGGUCAAGCUGUCGCCGCCGGGCAGGGCCGCGGCCGGGUGCAGGGUCCCCAGGGCGGCGGACGAGGACACGGAGGAGGCUGCGGCGGCCGCGAGCGAGCGGCCCAAGUCCUUACAAGGACCUCACGCUGGCACUUCCAAGUCCAAGUUUUAGAAGCGCUCCUCGGAGAGCUAAAUCAACAGCGCGGAGCCAGGCGGAGCACUAGGGCGGCACAGGAAGGAAGACGGCUGCAGGCCAGCAGCUCCUUCAGACGCAGAGCCUUACACCGAGGCAAGUGA